CCUCCUCCCACUGCCUCUGCUUUGGGCAGCAGGCAGUGGACAAAGUGAACCCUGGAGCGACGAACCAUGUCAAUCAGAGCGUCCUAAAAGCAGAAAGGACAUGACUGUGACAUCAGCGUCUGCUUGCUGUCAAGCCGUAGUAGCUGAACAGUCUCUCCAGCAUCGUUUCCUCUGAACCUCCAGGCUGAACAGCCUCCUCCUCCAUCAGCCACAGAAGUCCCCGAGCCUCGUCCUUCCUGGCCAAGGUGCGAACCUGUGAUGGAUGUGGACAGUCACUAAGUUUUUCCGAGCUGGUGAUGACUGUGGGGAGUCAUUUGUAUCCAGGAAGGAUGCCCACUUGCUUCUAUUGGAAGUGCCAAAAUCUGGGCUCUUAAAAAUGGAUGUGUUAAAGCGCCAUCUGGUGACACUGUGGAUUUAUACAUGCUAAAUCUACUCCGUGUGUAACGGGGCCAUGAUCGCUAACAGUGGAUCGCUGAAUAGAAAAUACUUGGUAUGAUGUAAUUUCUGUGAGGAAGUCAUCAACGCAUGAAUAUGAAUGGUGCUCCAGGGAGAAGAGUGAACACAUUCUGUGCAGAAACCUCUUUUUUGUCUUUCUUUUUUAUCUUAUAAAAACAUGUUUAUCUUACUCACUUUAUUUAACACCAGGCAGAUUUAAAUAAAUGGACAAAAACUGGCAAAUAACGAACCACAGCCAAGGAUUCUAACUUUAUAUCCUCAAUAACUUUCCUCGUUAUGCCUCUAACAUUGUUAUUCGCACAACAAGUCACCACAUCAGAGCUGAGUUGAGUCGACACACUCACACAGGCUCACAGUAAUUGGCCUGAGCUGAAAUAUUUGCAGUAAGCAGCCGUCAACAGCGGUGCAUUGAUAUUUCAACACUUCUUUCUUUACUGAUCGAUGAAAAAGUCAUUUCAUGAGCAACUAUUCUACUGGAAGAAUGCAAAAUAAAGAUCGUGCAGAAAAGGCAUAACUGUCUCAUGAAUUAUCUUGGAAGAAUGCCUGCCAUGGUUUUUUUCUUACUACUUUCAAUAAGUUCCAAAUCAGCACCUGAAGUUAAUUUGACACAAGUUCCCCACUUCUCUUUUGUUGGGUGCUUAGUAGCUGAGAAUAAACUCGGGGUGAAGUUACUUUUAACUGAAUUUGCAAUGGCUGAUUUGUUUCUAAUAUAUUAUUUAGAUCAGGUCCAAUUAUCAUCUUGUUUAAUUCAAACCAGGACUCCGAUCUCUAUUCCUACCUCAGACAAAGACGUUGCAGUUUCACCCCGGUCCUUUUAUUUGUUAGUUGGCUAGGUUAGGACAAUAUUACUGUACAGAUUACAACAAAACCAGAUGGAGGGAUGCAGUAUAGGUCAGGUUUAACACUGUGAGAUACGGUGUGUUUGGACAUUUUCAGUAUUUAUCCAGGGAAUAAUUCAUGGAUCUUGAUGAAAGAUAUAAUUAAGAUCCAUAUAAAGGGGACUAAUAUCUACAAAUUGCAUUGGGUGCAUCUUGGUUGCACUGUUGCUCUACUGAGUGCUAUUCUAGUUGAAAUUAUAGUCAGGCAGGUUUAUAGUGGCUUUGACUUUGACAUCUCCAAACUUUAGGAUCCAGGAUGAUUAUUAAUACGUCAAGAGACAGAUAAACACAUAUUUUACAGAAAAGACUAUAUACAGUUCUGUAUAUUAUUUGAUAGCUUUAAAUGAGUAUGAGUCCUGGAGGAUAGAUCCAGACGAUCUGCUCCAGAAGAUGCAUCCUGCUCAUUUAUUCUUCAUAAAAACUUCAGCACAGUUAGUCUUAUAACCAAGUGGAUUAAACAUUGCUUGAAAUAUGAUAACACCUCCUGUAAAAACUCAAUCUGAUCCCUGAAAAAUGUUGAGGUCUUUAGCGAAGAGUAAAUGUAAUAAUCUUGCAAUAAAACCACCAAACUGAUAAAUGAUCAGUGGAUGGUUGGAAAUAGCCCUUCGGCGAGCCCUGACACCGCCUCAUAAACUGCAGAUUAAUGCCACAACUGCUGCUCUUCUUGUCAACACAAAUAUCGGAAUCUUGCUCCGUGGCUUCCUCUGCUGUGAUUUGUACCGUGUGAUACUUUAAACUGCGUGCUUGGCCGAGAUCCGACUUUCUAAAUAAAGAAGAGAGACCUCGGCACCGUUUGAUUAGAUUGAAAGUUAACUGACUCACUGUGUCUUUUAGUCGAGAAGAGAUGUGCUGCUGAAACUGGCCAUCACUAUGUUUUUUUAUUAUUUUUCCAGAGUUUACUCUCAAUAAGCUCGUUUAUAAGUUUGAUCAGUAUCAUUUAUUCUCAAGCAAAUUAUAGUGUGAUUGCAUUUUCAAGGAUAUUUUUGGUUAGUCAGAAGGUCUCAAUCCAAUUUUAAAAGUCGUCCAUGUGAACAUUUCUGAAAAUGGAAGCACUAUCCCCUUAGGCCAUGUUUAGAUUUAGUCACAAAAACUAGUAUUACUACUUUUGGUUAGGUUUAGGGAAUCUAAUUAGUGCCAAACACAAAGUAAAGCUGAAAAUUACCCUGAAUGUCUGCUGUUUUCUCUAAGGGUAAAGAUUUAAUUUGACUAAAUGUUUUGGGUUGUAAACAACCAAUAUUCGGCUGAUAAAUAGGAAUAACACUCAGCUGGGACAAGCAAGAGAAAGUAAUGCAAAUUAGAUCAUCGCUUUAGAGAAUUUAGGGCUUGUUAAAAAGCUUAUUUAGGUCAUCGCCUUCAAAUAUCAAAUCAAUCCGUGUUGUAGACUAACUGAUUUAGAAUGAAAAUGUUUUGUCAUGCAUGAAGCCUACGGUUAAAUCAUCCGAAACCAUUUUGAAAUUGACCAAAGUAACAAUGACCA